rnacentral:lncRNA from 1 species
UUGGGUUUGACAUUGGUUCAAUUUUUAGGAUCACAAAAUCCACAGGAUAAAUGAAAUUACUGACCUUGUUUAGCACAUCCUCCAUAACUCUCUUAGGGAUUCUCACUGAUCGAUCUGCCAAUUGUAAUGUAAUUAUGUAGGCUUUAAUUCUCCUAUCCUCAAUUUCUCAUAGACUGAAUAAGGUAAGAUAUUCACACUAGCCCC